rnacentral:lncRNA from 1 species
GGGCGGGGGGGGCAAAGGGGAAAGGCGGGGUCACUGUCUAAGGUGGCCCUGGUGCCUCCUCCCGGGAAGAGCCAAAUCGCCGUCUACAAACUCGCCCAGGGUUGGCUUUCAGGGUCCGGCUCCAGGGGAACCACCAACCGGGGCCUCUGGCCAGGCCGCAGGUUGGGGGGAGGGGGGGCGCUGCGAAGACCUGGACAUCUUUCCGGGUGGCUGGGGUGUACAGGAGGCUUCAGCUCCAGCCCGGGUGGCAGAUAUUUCACAGGACAGCGGAGCUGGAACCCAGCUGGGACCUCCUUGCCUCAGUAGACCCCAUUCCUAUGAGAUGAUGGGGGACUGCCUGAGAAGCCCUUGCCGUCACCCGACAGCGAAGGGAGUGCAGCAUCCUGCGGAGCAGCCUGCCAGAGGCCCCACAGUCCCUGGGGCCUCGGCGGGGGAGGAGGACCAGGAAAGAUACCGCCUGCAGCCAAGGCCACAGGAGGGAGGGAGGCGGAGCCCCCCGCACCAAGGGCGGCCCUUUUUCAAUAGCUCCCCGGCCCUCCAGCCAGCCAGUCAGUCCCACCGCCUCAGCGGCUUUUUCUUUUAUCUGGUCAAACACAGACGACUGGGGGCGCAAAAGUCCAAAGCACUGCUGGGCAGCGGUGGCGCAUGCCUGUAAUCUCAGUAUUCUGGGAGGCUGAAGCAGGAGGAUCCCAAAUUCGAGCCCAGCAAUUUAACAACUUGGCGAGAACUUAUAUCAAAAAAAAAAAAAAAAUUAAAGGGGGCUAGGAAUGAAGCUCAGCAUGAAACCCUUGGGUUCAAUCCCCAAUACCGCCAAAAAGAAAAAAGUAAGUCCAAAGCGGGGCGCAGCAGGCAACUCCGGGGGAGCUGCGGGGAAAGCGGUGGGAGGAGACGCAGUCCCGCAUGAGUCCAGGAAUUCUGGCGCAGGCAGCGUCGGAUGCAGAUCCAUGGCCUCAUUCUACAGACGGCAAAAGAGAGGCAGACACAGCGGAUUCCUUUGUUCUGUGUAAGCCCCAUCCUGGGGGCGGCCGGGCUCCCGGCUCGGCGGAGAGGGCGGCGACGGCGAUAGCGACAGCGACUCACCCGAGGCGGCCAGGAGGCCGGAGGCGCAGAGCAGCGCGCCGCAGAGCGCGGCCAGCACGCGGGGUUCCUGCAUGCUGUGGCCGGCGCGGGUCCUUGCCGCCUGUGCGCCCGGCCCGGAAUAAAUCGGGCCGCUCGGCACCUCCCACUGGCCGCGAGCUCCGCCCCG